UAAUGAGGUGUUGAGAUAGAGG
rnacentral:miRNA from 1 species